rnacentral:rRNA from 1 species
AAACCCACCUGAGAUCACUCAGGUAUCUUGCAGUGAAUACAUAGCUGCAUGAAGCGAACCCGGAGAACUGAAACAUCUAAGGUACCCGGAGGAAAAGAAAUCAACCGAGAUUCCCUUAGUAGCGGCGAGCGAACGGGGGAUUAGCCCUUAAGUUGUAAUAGUGUUAGUGGAACAGUCUGGAAAGUCUGGCGAUACAGGGUGAUAGCCCCGUACACGAAAACCUAUUACAGUGAAAACGAGUAGGUCGGAGCACGUGAAACUUUGACUGAACAUGGGGGGGACCAUCCUCCAAGGCUAAAUACUCCUUACUGACCGAUAGUGAACCAGUACCGUGAGGGAAAGGCGAAAAGAACCCCGGAGAGGGGAGUGAAAUAGAUCCUGAAACCGUAUGCGUACAAGCAGUGGGAGCACCCUCGUGGUGUGACUGCGUACCUUUUGUAUAAUGGGUCAGCGACUUAAUCUCAGUGGCAAGCUUAACCGCAUAGGGGAGGCGUAGCGAAAGCGAGUCUUAAUAGGGCGUUUAGUCGCUGGGAUUAGACCCGAAACCGGGC